rnacentral:rRNA from 1 species
UACGUAGGGUGCAAGCGUUGUCCGGAAUUAUUGGGCGUAAAGAGCUCGUAGGCGGUCUGUCGCGUCUGCUGUGAAAACUCAGGGCUUAACCCUGAGCUUGCAGUGGGUACGGGCAGACUAGAGUGCGGUAGGGGAGACUGGAAUUCCUGGUGAUAGCGGUGAAUGCGCAGAUAUCAGGAGGAACACCGGUGGCGAAGGCGGGUCUCUGGGCCGUAACUGACGCU